rnacentral:rRNA from 1 species
UACGUAGGGUCCAAGCGUUAUCCGGAAUCACUGGGCGUAAAGCGUGCGUAGGUGGAUUGUUAAGUGCGGUGCGAAAUCCUGUGGCUCAACCAUAUGGACUGUAUCGCAUACUGGCAAUCUAGAGGACAUGAGAGGCAAGUGGAAUUACUGGUGUAGCAGUGAAAUGCGCAGAGAUCAGUAGGAACACCAAUGGCGAAGGCAGCUUGCUGGCAUGUAUCUGACGCUAAGGCACGAAAGCGUGGGGAGCGAACAGG